UACGUAGGUGGCAAGCGUUAUCCGGAUUUAUUGGGCGUGAAGAGAACGCAGGCGGUCUUUUAAGUCUGAUGUGAAAGCCUUCGGCUUAACCGGAGUAGUGCAUUGGAAACUGGGAGACUUGAGUGCAGAAGAGGAGAGUGGAACUCCAUGUGUAGCGGUGAAAUGCGUAGAUAUAUGGAAGAACACCAGUGGCGAAAGCGGCUCUCUGGUCUGUAACUGACGCUGAGGUUCGAAAGCGUGGGUAGCAAACAGG
rnacentral:rRNA from 1 species